UCAAACUUGAUACACAGGAUGACCCAGCGCAUGGGUUCUCAACCUCUGGGUCCUGACCCCUGUGGUGGUUAUCAGUUAUCCUGUCUGUCAGAUAUUUACAUUAAAUUCAUAACAGUAGCAAAUUACAGUUCUGAAGUAACAACAAAAGAAUUUUAUGGUUGGGGGAGGGGGGAGUCGCCACAUGAGGAACUUAUUAAAGUGGCACGGUAUUAGGAAGUUUGAGAACCACAUUCUAGACCUUCUGAUCUCCAGCUUUUACCUCCUCAGUUCUGUCAUUGUACGCACUCACCACGUCUGGUUUGACAUAGGCCUGGGAAUGGAACUUAAGGCUUCUUACGUAUGAGAUAAAUACUCUACCAACCUUACAACCCUAGCCCACACCUCCAAAACUUUAAAUCAGAUUAUACAUCCUUAUCCUACUUAAAGUAAAUUUCAUCCUUACCCACGCUUUGAAAACUCAUGGGAUCCAGCCUGGGCUAAGAAGAAGAUAACCUCCACCCCCCAAUCCUCCUUUAUGACUAUUCCCUUCCAGCUUGCUGUCAAAGUGACUGUCGCUGCAGGUCCCUGCAGUUCCCCUAUUAGCCUUCUGGGCAACUUUGCAUAAGAUCAUCCUUGGCUGGAUGCUCUGUCUUCCCCUAGGACUCCUGCCUCUGAGCUCCCCCAUCUGCAAGGACUCCAGGAUCUGCUAAUGACUCUGCAUUCCACUGAGGAUCCUGGCUCUGCUAAGGACUCUGCACUCAGCUUAGAAUCCUGGCUCCGAUGAGGGAUCCCAAGCUCCAGCCCUGGCUCUGACAUCUUCUUACAGUGACCUUGGACAAGUUGCUCCUGCCUUGUAGGGCUCAGUCUUCCAAGUCAGAAGACAGGAGGAGAUAAUGUCCACCAUUCUCUGGCUGCCUCGGAGUAUAAUGCAGCCUUUGUGGCCCCCGUCUCUGCUCUGCCUCCUGCCACCAGGCCGACUUCUGACACACAAGCCUUCUGUCAACGCCAGGGAGAAGAGUAGGAGUGAGAGAGCGGGCACUAGCCAGCUUCAGCUUGGUGAACGUUGGUGGAGUCAAACUUUUUUUGACUCAUGCCUUUAAUCCCAGCGUUUCGGGAGUCAGAGGCAGGUGGAGCUCUGAGUUCGAGGCCAGCCUGCUCUACAGAGCAAGUUCCAGGAUUGUCAUGAGGUCCUCGGGACAGGAUUGCAGACAGAAUACGUGGCCUUUGUUAUCUGACCCCUAUCAGGUAAUGUAUAAUUUCAAGGUUUAUCCACGUUGUGCAAGAAUCAGGGCUUCUUGCCUUUGUAUGGUAAACAGAUUCACAUCCAGGCACAGUCUGCUUAUGGGACAUACAGGUAUAGCAACCAUUACUGCAUUUAUCCCCUUACCAGAACCCAGGCUGGCCUCAAACUCACAAGCCUCCUGUUUCACUCUGCCAAAUGUUGGGGUAUGACUCAAACUAGUCUCCGACGCACUAGUAGCAGAGGCUAGCCUUGAUCUCCUGAUCCUUUUGCCUCUACAUCCUCUACAAGUGCUUGAUUUACAAGUAUGUCCAACUGUACCAGCCUAUAAGGUUUAACUUUGGUUUGUUUAUCUUGUUGUUCUUGCCAUAUCUAAAAGAGUAGUUCAAAAUCAUGAAGGUUUGCUUUCUUUUAAGGGUUUUAUAGUAUGAGGCUGGGGAGACGAUUCAGUCAACAAAGCCCUUGCCAUGCAGGCAUGAUGGUCUCAGUUUGGGGUCCCGACACCCACCUAAAAGCCAGGUGUGGCAAUGCUUGUCUGUAGUUUGGUGGUCAGGAGUUGGGGACAGAUGCAUCCACAGAACCCACAGGCCAGCCAGUCUAGUCAAAACAGCAAGUGGCACUGAAGAGACCCCAUUUCAAAAAGUAACAUGGAGGGCCUGUGCAAUGGCUCAGCAAGGCACUUGCUACAAAGCCUGACAACCUGAGAUCAAGCCUCAGCUACCAACACAUAGUUUCUUGUGUAGCCUUGGCUAUCCUGGAACUUGCUCUGUAGACCAGACUGGCCUCGAACUGAGAGAUCCAUC
rnacentral:sRNA from 1 species